GUGGGGAAUAUUGCACAAUGGGCGCAAGCCUGAUGCAGCAACGCCGCGUGAGGGACGACGGCCUUCGGGUUGUAAACCUCUUUUAGCAGGGAAGAAGCGAAAGUGACGGUACCUGCAGAAAAAGCACCGGCUAACUACGUGCCAGCAGCCGCGGUAAUACGUAGGGUGCAAGCGUUGUCCGGAAUUAUUGGGCGUAAAGAGCUCGUAGGCGGUUUGUCGCGUCUGCUGUGAAAACCCGAGGCUCAACCUCGGGCCUGCAGUGGGUACGGGCAGACUAGAGUGCGGUAGGGGAGAUUGGAAUUCCUGGUGUAGCGGUGGAAUGCGCAGAUAUCAGGAGGAACACCGAUGGCGAAGGCAGAUCUCUGGGCCGUAACUGACGCUGAGGAGCGAAAGCGUGGGGAGCGAACAGGAUUAGAUACCCCGGUAGUC
rnacentral:rRNA from 1 species